CCCCUCUCAGGAUCGCACCUGGAGAGUUUCCAGGACUCUACCAGUCUUGGCUAUGGGAGGGAGAGUCAAGCCGAGGCCUGUCCAUUCCAUUCCUAGCUUGGGCAGUAGCUAAUGAGUGGUAGGCCAGCUGCUACAAGU